rnacentral:rRNA from 1 species
GACGAACGCUGGCGGCGUGCCUAAUACAUGCAAGUAGAACGCUGAAGGAGGAGCUUGCUUCUCCGGAUGAGUUGCGAACGGGUGAGUAACGCGUAGGUAACCUGCCUGGUAGCGGGGGAUAACUAUUGGAAACGAUAGCUAAUACCGCAUAACAGUAGAUGUUGCAUGACAUUUGCUUAAAAGGUGCAAUUGCAUCACUACCAGAUGGACCUGCGUUGUAUUAGCUAGUUGGUGAGGUAACGGCUCACCAAGGCGACGAUACAUAGCCGACCUGAGAGGGUGAUCGGCCACACUGGGACUGAGACACGGCCCAGACGCCUACGGGAGGCAGCAGUAGGGAAUCUUCGGCAAUGGACGGAAGUCUGACCGAGCAACGCCGCGUGAGUGAAGAAGGUUGUCGGAUCGUAAAGCUCUGUUGUAAGAGAAGAACGAGUGUGAGAGUGGAAAGUUCACACUGUGACGGUAUCUGAACAGAAAGGGACGGCUAACUACGUG